GUGGGUUUUAGAGGGUUUUGCAAUCAGAGAAGAGAAAUAGAGCGAGGAAUUUUUUCAGAGAGAGAAAAAUGGAAAUGCAUAGCAUUUGAAACUACGUUUUCUCGAGAAAAUAUGGGAUAGAAAAUGAGAGAAUCCUGGGGAAACUGUGGUGUGAGGGGAAGGAGAAUUGUGUUUUCUUCUUUGAUCUUUGCAUUUGCUUCCAAAUCCUGAGAAUUUCACUGCAAUUUCGCCUUGUACGGGAAAAGGUUUGCACUUUGAACAGAACAACCUUUGCUAAGAGGUGAGUUGUGGAUUGGGCUUCACCAAUUUUGUGAAAGUUCGUAUUUUGUGUCUGGGUUUCUGGGUGGGAUGAUUUUUCUGUUAUAUAAAAGUUUGUUUGGUUUCUGGGAAAAGUUGGGAAAGAGGGACGAAAAGGGGAAUUUCGAAAGAACAUUCAACCCCAGGAAUGUUACAUGACUCGAUAUUUUUGAACUUUUAUUUUUCACUGAUUUUUUCUAAGACUUCAAGUGGGUCUGUGGGUAUGGUUUGUUAGAUUUAUU
rnacentral:misc_RNA from 1 species